rnacentral:rRNA from 1 species
UACGAAGGGGGCUAGCGUUGUUCGGAAUCACUGGGCGUAAAGGGCGCGUAGGCGGCUUUGUAAGUCGGGGGUGAAAGCCUGUGGCUCAACCACAGAAUUGCCUUCGAUACCGCAUGGCUUGAGACCGGAAGAGGUUAGUGGAAACUGCGAGUGUAGAGGUGAAAUUCGUAGAUAUUCGCAAGAACACCAGUGGCGAAGGCGGCUGACUGGUCCGGAUCUGACGCUGAGGCGCGAAAGCGUGGGGAGCAAACAGG